GGCCGCCCCCGGUGCGGGCCCGCCCCGCCCCGCCGCACGUGACGCGGCGCGGCGGCAGCGAGCGGCGGGGCCCCGCUCCGCACCGCUCCGGUACCGGCUCCGCUCUGCUCCGGUACCGACCCCGGCCCCGGCUCCGCUCCGGUACCGGCCCCGCCGCCCCCCCGGAAGCGCCAUGGGCCCCCCCGGACUCCCCCGGGCCACCUAGACGUGUCCCCAGCGGGCGCCGCCACCGCCUCGGCCACCCCACCCCGAGGGCAGCAGGAUGGCCCAGCAGCGCCACGCCGCGCCCCCCCCGCUCAAGACAGAAGAGGAUUACAUCCCCUACCCCAGCGUGCACGAGGUGCUGGGCCGGGAGGGGCCAUUCCCCCUCAUCCUGCUGCCGCAAUUCGGGGGCUACUGGAUCGAGGGCACCAACCACCAGCUGAGCGGGGCACCCGAGCCCCCCCCGACCCCGGCACCCGGCACCCGGGCCAGGCUGGAGGGCAACCACACGGCCAAGAUCUACCGCAAGCACUUCCUGGGCAAGGAGCACUUCAACUACUACUCCCUGGACCCGGCGCUGGGCCACCUCGUCUUCUCCCUCAAGUAUGACGAGCAGGAGCACCUCCACCUGCUGCUGCGCACCCGCACCCGCACCCUGCACGAUGUGGUGCCCAUCUCCUGCCUGGCCGAGUUCCCCAACGUGGUGCAGAUGGCCAAGCUGGUGUGCGAGGACGUCAACGUGGAUCGCUUCUACCCCGUGCUCUACCCCAAGGCGUCCCGCCUCAUCCUUGCCUUCGAUGAGCACGUGCUCAGCAACCACUUCAAAUUCGGCGUCAUCUACCAAAAGCUGGGGCAGACCUCCGAGGAGGAGCUCUUCGGCACCACGGAGGAGAGCCCGGCCUUCGCCGAGUUCCUCGACGUCCUGGGCCAGCGGGUGCAGCUGCGCGACUUCAAGGGGUUUCGGGGGGGGCUGGACGUGACGCACGGGCAGACGGGCAGCGAGUCGGUGUACUGCCACUUCCGCGACAAGGAGAUCAUGUUCCACGUCUCCACCAAGCUGCCCUACACCGAGGGUGAUGCCCAGCAGCUGCAGCGGAAGCGCCACAUCGGCAACGACAUCGUGGCCAUCGUCUUCCAGGACGAGAACACCCCCUUCGUGCCCGACAUGAUCGCCUCCAACUUCCUGCACGCCUUCGUGGUGGUGCAGCUGGAGCAGGGCGGCCCCCAGGGCACCCUCUACAAGGUCUCGGUCACCGCCCGCGAUGACGUGCCCUUCUUUGGCCCGCCGCUGCCCGACCCCGCCAUCUUCAGGAAGGGCCCCGAGUUCCAGGAGUUCCUGCUCACCAAGCUGAUCAACGCCGAGUACGCCUGCUACAAGGCGGAGAAGUUCGCCAAGCUGGAGGAGCGGACGCGGGCGGCGCUGCUGGAGACGCUGCACGAGGAGCUGCAGGGCCGCAGCCAGGCCAUGCUGGGGCUGGGCCCCGACGACGAGCGCCCCGACAACGGCUCCGCCGCCCCCGGCUUCUUCGAGUCCUUCAAGUCGCUGCUGGUGCCCGGGAGCCGCCGGGGACGCCGCGGCAGCGCCAUCGGGCUGGGCUCGGUGGAAGAGGCGCUGCUGGUGCCCGGGAAGAGCCCGUCCCGGCGGCGGCCCGGCCCGCUCGGCUCCCGCCGCUCCAGCGCCAUCGGCAUCGAGAGCAUCCAGGAGGCGCCGCCCGGCAGGGACGGCCCCGCCGCCAGCACCGACGGCGCCGGCUCCGGCAACAGCUCCCCCGAGAGCCGCCGGCACCCGGACAGGUCCCGUGUGGGGCACCGGGAGAGGGGACACGGGGACAUGGGGACCCGGGGAUGUGGGGACAUGGGGACACAGGGACAUGCGAACUUGGGGACGGGGUUAUGGGGACAUGGGGACACAGGGUCACACCAGCAGCCGGUGGCACAGGGAUGUGGCAGCAUGGGGACGAGAUGGCACAUGGAUGGGGUGGCACUGGGACAGGGGUGGCACAGGGACAGGGUGGCACGGGGACAAGGUUGGGGAUGUGGUGGGGUGGGGACAGCGUGGCGCUUGGGUGGCCUGGCGAUGGGGUGGCACAGGGCUGGGUGGCAUGGGGACAGGGUGGUGCGGUGACAAUGUGGGGACGGGGCGGCACGGGGAUGGGGUGACACAGGGGCGGGGUGGCCCGGGGACGGGGUGACAGGGGGCCAGGUGUGUCCCUUGGCAGGGCGGAGAGGCCGGAGCCUCCGCGGGACUUCUCCCGCUCGUCCUCCAGCGCCAGCAGCUUCGGCAGCGUGGCCGAGGAGCCGGACGAGCACCCCGAGGCCGAGCCGGGCAGGCCGCUCGCCCUCGGGGACCCCCCGCCAGCGCGACGCC